UGGGGAAUAUUGCACAAUGGGGGAAACCCUGAUGCAGCGACGCCGCGUGAGUGAAGAAGUGCUUCGGUAUGUAAAGCUCUAUCAGCAGGGAAGAAAGAAGGACGGUACCUGACUAAGAAGCCCCGGCUAACUACGUGCCAGCAGCCGCGGUAAUACGUAGGGGGCAAGCGUUAUCCGGAUUUACUGGGUGUAAAGGGAGCGCAGACGGCGCUGCAAGUCUGAAGUGAAAGCCCGCGGCUCAACCGCGGGACUGCUUUGGAAACUGUGGAGCUUGAGUGCAGGAGAGGCAGGCGGAAUUCCUGGUGUAGCGGUGAAAUGCGUAGAUAUCAGGAGGAACACCAGUGGCGAAGGCGGCCUGCUGGACUGUAACUGACGUUGAGGCUCGAAAGCGUGGGGAGCAAACAGG
rnacentral:rRNA from 1 species